CCUACGGGAGGCUGCAGUAGGGAAUCUUCCACAAUGGGCGAAAGCCUGAUGGAGCAACGCCGCGUGGGUGAAGAAGGUCUUCGGAUCGUAAAACCCUGUUGUUAGAGAAGAAAGUGCGUGAGAGUAACUGUUCACGUUUCGACGGUAUCUAACCAGAAAGCCCCGGCUAACUACGUGCCAGCAGCCGCGGUAAUACGUAGGUGGCAAGCGUUAUCCGGAUUUAUUGGGCGUAAAGGGAACGCAGGCGGUCUUUUAAGUCUGAUGUGAAAGCCUUCGGCUUAACCGGAGUAGUGCAUUGGAAACUGGGAGACUGGAGUGCAGAAGAGGAGAGUGGAACUCCAUGUGUAGCGGUGAAAUGCGUAGAUAUAUGGAAGAACACCAGUGGCGAAAGCGGCUCUCUGGUCUGUAACUGACGCUGAGGUUCGAAAGCGUGGGUAGCAAACAGGAUUAGAUACCCCGGUAGUC
rnacentral:rRNA from 1 species